AAAAAAAUUUUAAGUUACUACUUAGUUAAAGAAGAAAAAUUGUAUAUUUUAUUGCUUUGUUCUCUCUACUUUUAGUAUUAUAUUGUCAUAAUGAAAAACUUUGGUUUUUUAAUUUUUUUAUUGAUUUCGAUUUUAUUCUCGAUGUUUAAUUUUGGAGCGAAAGCAAUUAGUAUGGAUGGUUAUGCUAACGCCUGGAAAAAAAACUAUAAAGCAAAUGGAAAAUAGAUAAUUUAUAUCAAGAGUUCAACCAAAUUUUAUUACAUCAAGACAAAUGGAUUAGUGUUUAUCAUUAUUAUUGUUAUCGACAAUUUGGCCAAAAAAUAAUAAAAAGAAUAUCAAAUAAUA